CCCUUAGAUGUCCUGGGCCGCACGCGCGCUACACUGAGUGUCUGAGAUACGAGUCUGCCUGGUCCGGCAAGGUCUAGGUAAUCGCUAAAAGACACAUCAUGCUUGGGAUAGAUUAUCGCAAAUAUUAAUCUUGAACGAGGAAUUCCUAGUAAGCGCAAGUCAACAGCUUGCGUUGAUUACGUCCCUGCCCUUUGUACACACCGCCCGUCGCUACUACUGAUUGGAUGUUUAAGCGAGGUUCUCGAACUGCUAGCGACUUAGCUUCGGUGAGGUCGCAGUGUGGGAAGUGAACCUAGCUUUGGUGUCUAGAGGAAGUAAAAGUCGUAACA
rnacentral:rRNA from 1 species